UUUUUGCGUUAGGGAUUGUAGCGGCAUCUUUUUUAUUUGUUUCCUUUUUUUGGAAAGGAAACAAAUAAAAAAAUAUAGCGAAAAGCCCGACUCUCG
rnacentral:sRNA from 1 species